UGGAGAUGUCUCCUGUUUGACUUGAUUUUAAACUGUGGAGCACGUCAAGAGAAAGCUCACUGAUCUGCCGAGGGUUUGUGCUUUUCUGUCUUCAUGCAUCUGUUGUGGGUGAAGAGAGCAAAGAUUCUUCAUUCAAUCAAAGGCCCCCUUUGGAGAUGCUGAGAAGGAAAUUUCCUUUGGAAAUUCCCAAAGGAAUUGGGCUGUCUCUCUCUCUUUCUCUGGUUGCAUUUCACCAGCUAAGGAGUUGCAUUGGCUUCUGCUCUCCUCUCUUGCUCACCUACAUUGUGAGCCUCUGUUCAGAUGUCACAUUCUGCAUACAAUGGCACCUCCUAACAGAAGAAAUGAUGGCAUGGGCAUGCAAUCUGCAAAAUCCAUACCACAGGAUAUUCUAGGGGACAAAUGACCUGGCCAUUUCAACAAAAACCUGCAAGAAACAAAAACGAAGAAAGGAAAUGGGCACUGCCCACAUGAGUAGUAUUCCACUGUAUUCCACAUGAGGCUCUUAUGACCGACUUCAGCAGAAGGUCAGAGGAUUCUAUGAUGUUUGAUGGUGUGCUUCAGGGGAGAAGGGUUGGGGUCAAAGAGACCUUCCCGCUUCUGCUGGUUUUCUCAGAUGCCAAGAUGCUCUAUUUUGGGGUAACAUGUCCUAAACCCUAUCACCUGCCUAAUGUUACUUAUUAGCUCUCAUUUCCCCUGACACUUUCCCUUUUUGUUUUCUUGAGUAGAAGCUUCAUAAAGGCAAGACCUUCAUCUUACUCACAGCAGUUGAUUCUAUCACCUUGUAUGGCCCCUGACACAUAGAAGGUGCUCAAUAAAUUUUGUUGAAUG
rnacentral:lncRNA from 1 species